rnacentral:tRNA from 1 species
AAGCCCAAGCAGUGAAACACACCAAAGUGCAAAUUUGGAGACGCACCCCACUAAGGUGGCGGGGCUUC